GAUGAACGCUAGCGGCAUGCUUAACACAUGCAAGUCGAGGGGUAUAGUUCUUUGGAGCUACAGACCGGCGCACGGGUGCGUCACGCGUAUGCACUCUACCGUUUGCAGAGGGAUAGCCCAGAGAAAUUUGGAUUAAUACCUCAUAGUAUUUGAGAAUGGCAUCAUUUUCACAUUAAAGUCACAACGGCAAAAGCUGAGCAUGCGUCCCAUUAGCUUGUUGGUAAGGUAACGGCUUACCAAGGCGACGAGGGGUCGGUGUCCUGAGAGGGAGAUCCCCCACGCUGGUACUGAGACACGGACCAGACUCCUACGGGAGGCAGCAGUGAGGAAUAUUGGACAAUGGGCGCAAGCCUGAUCCAGCCAUGCCGCGUGCAGGAUGACGGUCCUAUGGAUUGUAAACUGCUUUUGUACAGGAAGAAACACUGGUUCGUGAACCAGCUUGACGGUACUGUAAGAAUAAGGAUCGGCUAACUCCGUGCCAGCCGCCGCGGUAAAAC
rnacentral:rRNA from 1 species